CCAGCCUGGGCGACAGAGCGAGACUCCAUCUCAAUAAAUAAAUAAAUAAAUAAAUAGAUAAAUCCCCACUCUACAGAAGCAGCCACCAAAUACCUCCUUACACAAGCAACCACAUCUAUAAUUCUCAUGAUAGGUAUCCUUUCCAAUAACCUGUCCUCUGGACAAUGAACAAUAAUAAACACUAGUAAUCAAUUUUCAUCCUUAAUAAUAACAGUCCUAGUAAUAAAACUAGGAAUAUCCCCCUUUCACUUGUGGGUCCCAACAGUAACCCAAGGAACCUCUCUAAUGUCUGGCAUACUUCUCCCCACAUGACAAAAACUAGCGCCUAUCUUGAUUAUGUUUCAAAUUUUCCCAACAAUAAACUCGAACAUCCUCCUAUCAUAAUUUUUUUUUUUUUUUAAGUCAGAGUUUUGCCCUUGUCGCCCAGGCUGGAGUGCAAUGGCACGAUCUUGGCUCACUGCAACCUCCACCUCCCAGGUUCAAACGAUUCUCCUGCUUCAGCCUCCUGGGUAGCUGGGACUACAGGUGUCUGCCACCACGCCUGGCUAAUUUUUGUAUUUUUAGUAGAGACGGGGUUUCACCAUCUUGGCCAGGCUGGUCUUGAACUCCUGAACUUGUGAUCCACCCUCCUCAGUCUCCCAAAGUGCUGGGAUUACAGGCGUGAGCCACCACGCCCAGCCUAUCUAUCACAAUCUUAUCCAUUAUUGUGGGCGGUUGAGAACUUAAACACAACUGCGUAAAAUCCUAGCCUACUCCUCAAUUACUCACAUAGGUUUAAUAAUAGCAGUACUAAUUUAUGACCCCAAAAUUACCAUUCUAAACCUGAUUAUUUACUUUAUUUUAACAACUACUGCAUUUCUAGCACUCAACCUGAGUAUAAGCACUGCAGUCCUGUCACUAUCUCAUGCCUGAAACAAAUUAACAUGAUUAACACCUAUAAUUCCACUAAUUCUACUAUCCCUAGGAGGUUUACCCUCAUUAACAGGAUUUUUGCCUAAAUGAGCCAUCAUUCAAGAAUUUACAAAAAACAAUAGUCUUAAUAUCCUGAUCAUUAUAGCUACCAUAACCCUACUCAACCUGUACGUUUACAUAUGCCUAAUUUAUUCCAUCUCAGUGACAAUAUUCUCCACAUCUAAUAACAUGAAAAUAAAAUGACAAUUUGAAAACACAAAACCCAUACUACUCCUCCCCCCAGUUAUCAUUUCUUCUACCCUCCUCUUACCCAUCUCUCCAUUAACACUAACUAUAACUU
rnacentral:lncRNA from 1 species